rnacentral:rRNA from 1 species
GGUUCGAUCAUGGCUCAGAUUCAGACGCGCUGGCGGGAUGCUUACACAUACCGUGUUGUUGAGCAGCACGGACUUCGGUCUGGUGGCGAGUGGCGAACGGGUGAGUAAUGUAUCGGAACGUGCCUAGUAGCGGGGGGAUAACUACGCGAAAGCGUAGCUAACCCUGCUACUUCGCCCUUCGGGGAAAGCAGGGGACCUUCCGGGCCUCACUAUUAGAGCAGCCGAUAUCGGAUUAGCUAGUUGGUGGGGUAACGGCUCACCAAGGCGACGAUCCGUAGCUGGUUUGAGAGGACGACCAGCCACAUUGGGACUGAGACACGGCCCAGACUCCUGCAGGGAGGCAGCAGUGGGGGAAUUUUGGACAAUGGGGAAACCUGAUCCAGCCAUCCCGCGUGUGCGAUGAAGGCCUUCGGGUUGUAAGCGCUUUUGGCAGGAAAGAAACGGCACGGGAUAUUACCCCGUGCAACUGACAACCUGCAGAAUAAGCACCGGCUAACUUCGUGCCAGCAGCCGCGGUAAUACGUAGGUGCAAGGCGUUAAUCGAAUUACUGGGCGUAAAGCGUGCGCAGCCGGUUCGGAAAAGAUGUGAAAUCCCAGAGCUUAUGCUUUGGAACUGCAUUUUUAACUACCGAGCUAGAGUGUGUCAGAGGGAGGUGGAAUUCCGCGUUGCAGCAGUGAAAUGCGUAGAUAUGCGGAGGAACACCGUGAGGGCAGCCUCCUGGGAUAACACUGACGCUCAUGCACGAAAGUGUGGGGAGCAAACAGGAUUAGAUACCCUGGUAGUCGCCUAAACGAUGUCAACUAGCUGUUGGGGCCUUCGGGCCUUGUUGGCGCAGCCUAACGCGUGAAGUUGACCGCCUGGGAAAUUACGGUCGCAAGAUUAAAACUCAAAGGAAUUGACGGGGACACACGAAGCGGUGGAUGAUGUGGAUUAAUUCGAUGCCUUUGAAAAACCUUACCUACCCUUGACAUGUCUGGAAUCCCGAAGAGAUUUGAGGUGCUCGCAAGAGAACCGGAACACAGGUGCUGCAUGGCUGUCGUCAAGCUCGUGUCGUGAGAUGUUGGGUUAAGUCCUGUGAGCGCAAGCACUUGUCAUUAGUUGCUACGAAAGACACUCUAUUAGGGCCGCCCGACAAACCGGAGAAGGUGGGGAUGACGUCAAGUCCUCAUAGUCGCCCAUGGGUAGGGCUUCACACGUCAUGCAAUGGUCGGGACAGAGGUCGCCAACCUUCCCCGCGAGAGGCCAAUCCCAGAAACCCGAUCGUAGUCCGGAUCGCAGUCUGCAGCUCCGACUGCGUGAAGUCGGAAUCGCUGUGAAUCGCGGAUCAGCAUGUCGCGGUGAAUACGUACGAUCCCGGGUCUUGUACACACGCCCGUCACACCAUGGGAGUGGGUUUUACCAGAAGUAGCCUAACCGUAAGGAGGGCGAUUACCACGGUAGGAUUCAUGACUGGGGUGGAAGUCGUAGCCAAGGUAA